rnacentral:rRNA from 1 species
CGCCUCUUGAGUAAAAAUAAGAGGUCCAGCCUGCCCAGUGACACAUGUUCAACGGCCGCGGUAUCCUAACCGUGCGAAGGUAGCGUAAUCACUUGUUCUUUAAAUGAGGACUAGUAUGAAUGGCAUCACGAGGGUUAUACUGUCUCCUUUCUCUAAUCAGUGAAACUAAUCUCCCCGUGAAGAAGCGGGGUUAAAACUAUAAGACGAGAAGACCCUAUGGAGCUUCAAAUUUUAUCUCAAAUGCCUUCCAGCCUCUAAACUUCCUAGUAUAAUUAAAACUACUACAGCAUUAUGGGAUAAAAUUUUAGGUUGGGGUGACCGCGGAGCAUAAAAUAACCUCCAUAUUGAAAUAGGCUUAUUAGCUUUGAGCAAUGGGCUACGACCCUAUGCACUAAAAAACUUACAUUAAUUGACCCAAAUUUUUGAUCAACGAACCAAGUUACCCUAGGGAUAACAGCGCAAUCCUCUUCAAGAGCCCCUAUCGCCAAGAGGGUUUACGACCUCGAUGUUGGAUCAGGGUAUCCCAGUGGUGCAGCCGCUACUAAUGGUUCGUUUGUUCAACGAUUAAAACCCUAC